GGCAGCUGGACUUUCUGGUUUUUCUUUGAAGAUGUUUUGCUCAUGGGUGAAACAGAGUGAUCUUUUCUGGUAUAGGUAUACAUGAAUCUAGCCUGCAACACAAAAUGAAAGAAGACAAAAGGAAUUUAAAAAGAGCACUCCGGACACCCAAACAGAAUGUGGUUUGUCUUUGGUUCUGACAAUUUCCAUCGUGACUUAGUAACUCCAAUUUAAAAGUUCUGCUCUGCUCUGUUCUGAUCCACAAAAUAUUGUUGGAACUGAAUCUAUGAGUAUCGGAUAAACAACUGAAAACAAUUGGAGCUUUAUAUAUGCUGAGUACAAGAAUUUAAUAGGCACAAAAAUGGAAAGAAGAGUCAAUGGAAGAAUGGAAUGAAAAAGUGAAAACAUGAUGGAAUUGGCAGAGAUGAGGAUGAUGAGUGCAGAAGCAGUGUGCUCAAGAUCAGCUGGCCAGUGGGGAAGAAGGGCAGGAAACACAACUGACAUUCGGGAGGCGAGAGCGAGCUGACACCAAUGCAGGGUCACAUUGUGGCUCCAUGUCGUAAUGGGCUCCAGGAGGAGGGUAUCUCACCUCAUCCAUUGUGAAGCGUGCUAAAUUUCACUGUGCUGCGCAAGGUGCUGUGAGAGCAGCAGACAGGCCAUGGAGGCAGCAACAGCAAAUGUACCACAACAAAGGCGGAAUGCUGUUUUGCACAUAUUUUUUAGUUCCCACAAACUUUUGUUUCCUGAAAACAAUGGCUAGAAAUGUGACGGAGAAAUGUGAUGGAGCUGGGCUGGGGCAACAACAUGUGUGCUACAGAGAGUGCCACCUCUGUGUCACCUCUAGCAUGUGUGCCAUAGGUUCACCACCACUGUCCUGAUGUUUAAAGCAGAGUACCUAUCUUUCGUUCCGACCUGUUUUGCUUAUAUCACUGUAUCAUAAUCAUAAUGGCAUCAUUCAUCUUAAAUGCUUCCUCAGAUAGAACCCUAACCUCAGCAAGAAAAUCACUACUUUUAAAAAACAUCUCACAGAUGUUGAAUCAAAGUCAUUUUGCAUUGCAAUCUAAUUCCAAUGUAUAUUUAUAUUUUUAGAUUAAUCAAUAGCAUGCUAUGCUUCCAGCUAAUCAUUACUACUAAUAUACUAUAAGAAUAAUAUAAGGAAUGAUGAUACAACCAAGAUGUAGCAAUAAAAGGCAAACUUUGAGAAUGCUACAGAGUAUAUUUAGGAAGGAAAACACAUUUAUGUCAUUUAGGAAGGAAAGCACAUUUAGUUAUUGAUUUGGUUAUUGAUCCAGUUCCUGAUCCCAAUACAAUAAUCAUAGCAAUCAAUGGAGAAAACUUGGCAUUCCCUUAAUUUAAAAAACCAGAAAUAAAUUCUAGCAAAGAUAUUUCUGUAUACUACCCCAUGCAUGCAUUUCAGCACAAAACUGGACUCAACAUUUUCAUUCUAUAAUUGCCUGCAUACUGAACCAACAACAGCUUCUAUUUAAUUAUAUUAUCAGAGUAGCCAGCUAUCACAAAAUCUUAGUGUAAGGAACUUAUUUCAACCCUAUCCCGGACAGUGUAUGUCUGAUACCUCUAAAAAUGAAUGAUUCCUGGUAGAUCACCAUCGUGAUUAAACUUUUCUUAGAAAUCGAUAAAAGCAUCUCACCUAGAAACAAAGUAUAUUGUGUUCAAUGUUUAAAAAGGGCAAAAGACAAGAACCUGCUAAUUAUAAUUAAUCUGCCAGUUAUUUUUCUAAGCUUUAGACGAGACAUCUGAAUAAAUUGGAAGUUUGGGAGGAAGAAACAAAAUUCUUCAUUCCAGAGAAGGCUGGAUUUCAAAAAGAACAAACUCAGUGUAUGUGUGUGCCACUUUGAAGGUUCUAUUUUAAAAAUAUAUCAGGGAACUUACAAAACAAUUCUAUGCAUUUAUUGCUAUUAUCUUUGUCAUUGAUUCAACUUGACUAUGGAAAAAAACCACACUGAAAACAGUGAUCCAUAGGCACCUUCUGAAAUAUAUUGAUAUUACAGGAGAGUAAAAAUGAGCCCACAACAAUCUUGGUCAGAUUCAAGCAGCAUUGUUUACUGAUGUCCUUAUUUAACUUUUGCAUGAAUGACAUUGCAUCCCAUUCACUUAAUGGAGGAAACAUUCUAAUGUUAAUGUACGUUCAUGAUAUGGGUCUCACAAUAAUGUCUUUAUUUAGAUAAACAGUACACUUAUAUGUUUAUGCAUAAGCAUCACUUCACAUGAGUAAUUCAUCAUUAAAACUUAAGAUUCAUACAUGAAGCAAUAUAAUUGAAGAUCUAUUUCUCAGCUUGGUUCAUGAUUGUAUGUAUAUGUUUGCAGAGAUAAACAAGAUAAAACCUUGUACUGCAGUACAAAUCCCACCCUUUUAGUGCUUGAUCAUGAUACUGUCCU